UGGAAAGCCAUAUAAAAUUACUGUUUUUCUUCUUUAUAAUAAUUGUCCUUGUCCCGAAUGGUGUAGACGGAAAUAAAGUUUGUAAGCUAGAUCCUGUAAUCGGACGAUGUAAACCAGGCUCAGAAAUAUUUCAAAGAUUCUAUUACAAUUGGAAAACGGGACAAUGUGAACAAUUUAGAUACGGAUGUGGUGGAAAUAGUAACAAUUUUAAAAGUAUUGUUGAAUGCCAGGCUGCUUGUCCGUAAGAUAUGUAUUCCAGAAAGAGUUUGAAAUUACAAAUUCACACAAUUUCUCCUGUGUUUAACGUUUAUUCACCAAUUAAUGACGACUCGUAUUCGACUGAUUGACGGCUAUAUAGUUACUCGGCAAUACCAUGGUAGUAUUAUUGACAAGAGUUAUAAAACCAGUGCUAAUGCGCAUGUGCGCAAUAUUCCCGAAUUGAAGUGAAAAUUAUACUCGAGUGACUCUCAAAAUAACUCGAAUAAUUCAAGCCCUCACCGUCACCGAUUCUCUCCGCCUCCAAAUGGAGUGAUCGUAGUGAUCGGAAUAUAACGACUGUGUUAUUCGACUUACUCUCAAAAUGGAAUAUAUAGCAGCGGUUGUGAAUUUUCUUUUUAGUGACGUCGACAAUGGAAACCUUAUGUACAAAUUUGUAAUUGUAAUAAGAUUGAAGAUCUUCUAUCAUU